GUCACACAAAAGGGAUGCUCUCUCAUAGCCUCUGGAGCCUCUGAAAAUUGUGUGAGAAUACUGUGCUUUCACACAGUUUUUGGAGUCUGGAGGCUACAGAAGAGCAUUCUCCUAAGCUGCUUCAAGAACGAAGGCUUUGGGUGAGCUGGACCUAUCUCAGGUAGACUGCAGGCAUUGUCAACAGAAAGAGAAUAUCGCCUCAAGGUCAAUUUCAGAUUCCUCCAUCAGGAAAAAUUUUGCUGGGCAAACGCCUACCCAUAAUAACAACUUUCAUUUCAUAUAUAGAUCAGGAAAGUGUCUCUCCGCAGUUAAGUCGAUGCAUGAACAGAUAGAUGCACAAGUCCACAGAAUAAUGCUGAAGCAAAAUAAUGUAUCCAAGGCUCAAGAAGCAAUGGAAAAUUGGGCUGUGGUAAGAUCUCCUUUGAAGUAGAGUACAGUUCGUUUCUGAGCCUUACAAUUCAGACAGGAUGCUGAUCAAUGGAAAAGUUUCAGAGAAGAGUCGCAUGGAUGAUAAAUGUCUAGAAGACAAACUGCACAAGGAACACUUGGAGGAAACUGGCUGUUUUGCCCAGUAGAAAGGUU